UACAGCCAUAUCACGUUGAAACACUGAUUCCCCUGUAGAAUCAUCAAAGUUAAGCAAUGUUGAGCCUGGUCAGUACCUAGAUGGGUGACCACUUGGGAAUCGUUGGUGCUGUAAG